rnacentral:lncRNA from 1 species
CUUGUAUAACAUUUUCGGACUUUCGUUUCAGUCCCUCGUCAGUAUAUAGUUAUACCUACUAUAUAUGCUAUACAAAAUAUACAGAACAGAACAUUUUCAAACAUUUUUUUAUGCGUUACAGUUCAUAUAAUAGAUUAUACCCUAUAUUGGGGGCAUAAUGACAAAGACAGAACCAUUGAACUUGCCAGGGGUAUAUGAAAUAAAAAUUGAUAACAAAGACACCAAUCAGGAAGAGGUUUACAUAGGUUCAAUGGCAAGGUCUAUAAAGAAAAGAUUACAAGAAUACAAGGCAGAUAGAGAGAAAGAGAAAGGAACUACAGCCUUGACACAAAGGCUUAUGGCAUAUGAUGCGACACCAAGAUAGCAAGAAACAGAAAUGGUAAGUAUUAUAACGGAACCAGAAAAGCUUAAGACGGCAGGGGCUGUAGAGAUAUUCGCCAAGAGAGCCUCGGGCAUAAAUGUUAUCAAUUACAACAAACCACAAAAAAUAAGCCUAGCAUGGGAGUACUCUUACAAAAAAAUGGUAAAUAAGAAAAAAAAGAGGCUGCUAGGAGAUUGAAAUAUAAAAGAUACUAUUAAAAGAGAAAGUUUAUAAUGAGAACUUAUUAUUAUUCCUGCUGAAAGGGUUAUGCAUUAAUAAUAAUGAUAUGUGACUGAAUAGGGC